AGCGAUGAGCUGGAGUCUGGAGCAGAUGGCAGUGGAGAUCACAGACAGGACUGGAGAGGAGAGCCAGGGAAUAUAUUUGCAAGCGGAGCGUGAGCAGCGGAAUAAAAGGCAAAGAGAGCGUUGUGACAGUCUUGUCAAGCGGAGUGAUGAGAUAAUGAAUCCGUCAUCAGCUGACAAGACAACAUCAUAAAACAACAGUUGGGUAAUUGAAUUCCGAAGAGGCGCUUUGACAAGCAAGAGAACAGAGGCACAACAAUGGUGAUGAGGUUACAGGAAAAGCAUGGAUAAUGGCCAAACAGAAGCACACAAUUGGAUAAACAAUGUAUAUGACAAACGGACAUUUCUUCUCUGAUGACGUUUACUGAUGCGAGGGCGGGACAACCAGACAAUUACAUGAGAUCAACCAAUAGCAAACCACAGCCAUCAAACCAUCCAAUCAAUUCUCCAUGGACAAAAUCAAGUCCCGUUCACCAUUUUUUCCUUGUUCGAGAAGCCGUUUUACUUGGAUAUACAUCACAAUAGGGAAGAAAAGACAGAUUGCAACUUCAGUUUCAAGCCAACAUUAAGAGGGAUUGGAUUCUGCAAGGCAAUCGAAUUUUGUGACACCGACCUUAGCUGGGCAAACAACUUAAAUGGUCCCUGAAAAGUGUUGUUUUUACCCCCUAAAAGGUGUUUUACACUGAAUCUGUUUCCCUAUUCAAUACAACUUCAGUGUAUUUGGGACACCCAAAAGGCGAACACAAAAGCAAACACCUGAUAGCUAUUUGCAAGAAAAUUAAUCCGACUGUCAAACUUCAGCUGCUCCGUGAUUAUGAGAGUCACUGCCAUUACAAGAAAUCAGUGUUUGAGGAGCGGAGGGAGGGUUGGCCUACUGCCGCACCAUAAGGUAGUGAUAUUCUCCGCAUGUCCGCAGGCUCGUGUCCCAGAUGAUUAGAGUCUAGAGGAGAGAUCAGAAACUGCAUCUCAAUCAGACAGUCAAGGUGACUUCAUAGGAAGCUGAUUUCCAACACAGUCAUUACCAGAACCUGAACGUCAGUGAAAUCAGAACUCCAGCAAACCUGCUUAUUAGUAAUAAUGAGUGCAAAUUACUAGACUAUAGAUGUCCUUUCUAAAGCUGGGUGUCUGCUGUGUGAUUUUUUUCUGUUCUUUAAGUUUGUUGUUUGUCGCGUUGUAUGACACGAGCCCGGUGAGAUCUUGUGUUAAAGCCGAGGCAGAUUGACGGCGUUGACUGGAUGAUCAAUCGUGCCAUGUUCUGAUAUUGCCAAAAUUAAAAUGGUAACACACAAACCCAGCAAGCCCUUACAGAAAUGCUGGCAAUGUUUUGCCUGGCACAGAAAACAAAAGUUUGGAGACAGUUGGCUGGGCAUAAGAAGGAAUUUGUGGAGAUGGCCUGUCGUAGGAGCAGACACAUUUUAGAACUGCAACCCAAAAUUUCUGACACUGUCAGAAGUUCGUCAGAGGCUUUGACUCAUCUCAAAGGCAAUUAUUUGGCAGUCAGUGAGCAUGCCAAGCCAAGCCAUCAAAGUGUGCCCUACAAUGAAAGAAAUCUGUUACGAUUCCCAAAAUUUGUCUCAGACAACAAAUGAUGUCUAAAAUCGUAUUGUAUAUAAAUAAACAAGUUCAUAAAUAUGCAGCAGAGUGUAAUUUACAAAUAGAUCUGUUAAGCUUUAAAAGAUAGUCCCAUUAAUACCCCGUCCUAAAAAAGUUU